GUUCGAGCGUCAUUACACCACUCAAGCUCUGCUUGGUAUUGGGCGUCGCGGUCCCCGCGUGCCUUAAUGUCGUCGGCCGGUGCGCCCGUCUCUAAGCGUUGUGAACUUCAGUUCGCUUGCGAGGCCGGGGGUGCUGUGCCGUUAAGCACACCAUUUAACAGGUUGACCUCGGAUCAGGUAGGGAUACCCGCUGAACUUAA
rnacentral:misc_RNA from 1 species